AAUCCGUGUUGUGGGCAUUUUCUCAGGAGCUUUUUGAACAUUUCCCAAGUCCAAAAUAGAGACUCCAAUUCCGACUGCACAAAGGACGAGAUCUCAUUCCUAAGAUU